rnacentral:rRNA from 1 species
UACCCGCAGCACAAGUGGUGGUCAUUAUUAUUGGGCCUAAAGCGUCCGUAGCUGGCUUGUUAGAUGCCUGGGUAAAUCGAUGCGCUUAACGCAUCGAAUUCCGGGUAGACCGGCAAGCUCGAGACCGGGAGAGGUGUAGGGUACUCGGGGGGUAGGGGUAAAAUCCUGUAAUCCUCCGGGGACGACCAGUGGUGAAGGCGCUACACUAGAACGGCUCUGACAGUGAGGGACGAAGCCCUGGGGCGCAAACCGG